GAUCAUCUCUCCAUCACAACUUCUUGAUCCUACUGUCUUGAUUUUUGCCUCCAGUUUAGGUGCCAUCUCCUCUUUUGACCCUUUGACAUCUCUAUGGGUGCAGGCCUGUCCCCCGACAGUUGUUCCCUCUGUGCUCUCCACCUUCCCUACUUAAACAUCACCCACCACCUUCUUGCACUGACAGAUGCCAGCCGGAAUGCCCUGACUGACCCCUACAUCCUGCUCGUGGUCCUGCUGUCCCUGGUGGUGAACACUAUCCCCUCAUUGACCAUCCACCUGUACCACACCACGACAGGCAAAACCACCAUCCAGCAGAAGAUCCGCUUGAAGGCCAAGCAGGCUCCGGAGCCCUCGGUGGAGCUGCGUGCCCAUGUCUCCCGUGGCUCCUUCCACCGCCGCUCCAGCUAUGCCUUCUCCCACCAGGAGGGCUAUGCUGGGCUCAUCACCCGUGGGGACAGCCUGCGGGCAGGGGCUGCUCACCCUGGGCUCCUGCAUCCCGAGAUGCAAAGCUCGGCUUUGUGGUCCCCCCCCCAGCCCCUCGCUGUAGCUGCCCUGGCAGCAUCAAACCCCCCCCCGUGCUGGGUUGGGAGGUGCUGUCAGGGUGCAUGUUCCAACCUUAUUUAGAUGGGUUUGAAGCCAGGGGCAGCCUCUAUGGAUGCGGAGGGGCUGGACCAGCUGGGGGGGAGCUGCUGCUCCAGGCACUAAGCUCUGGGACAUGUCCUGCCAGCAGCUCUGUCUGCUCCACACCGUGUGUGUUACAGCUUGUACAGAAGGCAACCAACCUGUGCCAUGCACAUCAGGCUGGUUCUGGUGCCCAUGGCUCUCACAUGCAUCAACCCAGCAGAUCAGCCUGGCUUCCAGCAGCCUCUCCUCAUCGCUCCCCACCAUCUGUGAGGGUGCUGAGGCGCUGGCACAGGGUGCCCAGAGCAGCUGUGGCUGCCCCAUCCCUGGCAGUGCUCAAGGCCAGGUUGGACACAGGGGCUUGGAGCAGCUGCUCCAGUGGAAGGGGUCCCCAUAGAAGGGGUUGGAGCUGGAGGAGCUUUUAAGGUCCCCUUCCAACCCCAACCCAUUUCCUGAUUCU
rnacentral:lncRNA from 14 species